GAGUUUGAUCCUGGCUCAGAUUGAACGCUGGCGGCAGGCCUAACACAUGCAAGUCGAGCGGAUGAAGGGAGCUUGCUCCUGGAUUCAGCGGCGGACGGGUGAGUAAUGCCUAGGAAUCUGCCUGGUAGUGGGGGAUAACGUCCGGAAACGGGCGCUAAUACCGCAUACGUCCUGAGGGAGAAAGUGGGGGAUCUUCGGACCUCACGCUAUCAGACGAGCCUAGGUCGGAUUAGCUAGUUGGUGGGGUAAAGGCCUACCAAGGCGACGAUCCGUAACUGGUCUGAGAGGAUGAUCAGUCACACUGGAACUGAGACACGGUCCAGACUCCUACGGGAGGCAGCAGUGGGGAAUAUUGGACAAUGGGCGAAAGCCUGAUCCAGCCAUGCCGCGUGUGUGAAGAAGGUCUUCGGAUUGUAAAGCACUUUAAGUUGGGAGGAAGGGCAGUAAGUUAAUACCUUGCUGUUUUGACGUUACCAACAGAAUAAGCACCGGCUAACUUCGUGCCAGCAGCCGCCGUAACACC
rnacentral:rRNA from 1 species